rnacentral:rRNA from 1 species
UACGGGGGGGGCAAGCGUUGUUCGGAAUUACUGGGCGUAAAGGGCUCGUAGGCGGCCAACUAAGUCAGACGUGAAAUCCCUCGGCUUAACCGGGGAACUGCAUCUGAUACUGGAUGGCUUGAGUUCGGGAGAGGGAUGCGGAAUUCCAGGUGUAGCGGUGAAAUGCGUAGAUAUUGGGAGGAACACCAGUGGCGAAGGCGGCUCACUGGACCGGUACUGACGCUGAUGCGCGAAAGCGUGGGGAGCAAACGGG